rnacentral:lncRNA from 1 species
GGGGUGGCGUAGGCGGCGUCCGGGAGAGGAGGCGGCCGACGGAGGCGGGGACGACUGGAGGGGGCCGAGGCGGCGUCGGGAGAGGAGGCGGCCGAAGGAGGCGACAGCCGAGGCUGGGAUGGCUGGCGACGUAGGCGGCGUAGGCGGUGACGGAGGCGGAGAUGGAGAUGGAGGAGGUGCGUGCGGGAAUAGAUGUGGGGAUGUUGGGCUGAGAAGAUUGCAGGCGGAAGGGAGAAAAUUGCUAUUUUG